AUUACAACCAUAUCCUUGCAGGUAUAGGAAACAGCUGCAAUAUGAUUUUAAUAUUUGCAAUAUAUUAGUGCUUUCAAUGUAUUCUGACAAUGGAAAAGUUCCUAACCGCAUGUCUGUAUUACACCUAUGACCCAGACUGUCAGUAUUGCAAACCCUAUAUGAAGACUCUGCUUUCACUGUUUAUGUAUACACCCCUAGACGACCGUGCUAUACAUGCACAAUAAAUCUU